AUACGUAAAGUUUUGCGUCUAUCUUAUUAUAUAAAGUAUGGUUUUCAAAGUUGCUAAUUCAUAGAAUUUUGCCACGUGUCAAGUCAAACAAUCAGAUGUUUAUAUGUGUCAUUCCAAAUUUUACUUUUUUAUUCUCUAAAA
rnacentral:sRNA from 1 species